CCAUUAGCGUAUAUUAAAGUUGUUGCAGUUAAAAAGCUCGUAGUUGAAUUUCGGGAUUGACGUGAUGGUCAUGCCUUAAGGGGUAUGAACUGUUGCAGUUGAUUUCUCACCUUCUGGAGAAACUUGAUGUCCUUUAUUGGGUGUCUUGCGGAUCCAGGACCUUUACCUUGAAAAAAUUAGAGUGUUUAAAGCAGGCAUUUUUGCUCGAAUACAUUAGCAUGGAAUAAUAGAAUAGGACGGCAUGGUUCUAUUUUGUUGGUUUCUAGGAUCACCGUAAUGAUUAAUAGGGAUAGUUGGGGGCAUUAGUAUUCAAUUGUCAGAGGUGAAAUUCUUGGAUUUAUUGAAGACUAACUACUGCGAAAGCAUUUGCCAAGGAUGUUUUCAUUAAUCAAGAACGAAAGUUAGGGGAUCGAAGACGAUCAGAUACCGUCGUAGUCUUAACCAUAAACUAUGCCGACUAGGAAUCAGACGAUGUUAAUUUUUUAAUGACUCGUUUGGCACCUUACG
rnacentral:rRNA from 1 species